UGAUGGAUGAAGGAUGGAUGGAUGAGUGGAUGGGUGAUCAGUGGGGGAGUAAAUGGAUGGGUGGGUGGAUGGAUGGAUGAUAGGUGGUUGAGUGGGUAGAUAGAUGGAUGGAUGGAUGGCCGAAUGGAUGAAUAAUUGGAUCUAUCAGCAUGUGACAAGCAGGUCCAAAUUCCAUUUAGCAUGGCAGUCUGUGUCCUAGGAUCCUGAAGCCAGCAGGGCUGUCUGGCCUUCACUGGGCCCUCCUUCAUGGUCCUUGUAGCUCAUCAGCUACAUUCCCUGGGAGGGUGACAGAGGGCCCUGGUCACGUCUAUCCAGCCCUCAGCAUAUGAACCACAGCUCCAGAUCCAUGUCUCAAAGUGGGGCAGCUAGAAAGUGGCCUCGUCCAUCCUCUCCGGCCCCUUCAGGGCCCAGGCUGGCCCAGCCCAAGAGCAGGAGCGUGGUGAGGACACAGAUAGGCCUUGGGCUUGAGCUCUCCUUGGAGCAGCAAAGACAGUGCCCACCCUCCUGCCCUGCCAGCUCUCUCUCCCUAAGGCAGCCUGAGACCCUCCCAGACAGAGGCCCUGUGGGCAUCUCCUCCAGAGCCACAGUGGCCCCAGCCCCUUCUCCAGGGACCUGCCACCUCAUCCUCUAAGGCAACCUCGCCUGUGAGAUAAGGAACCACACUGCUGGCCCCGACCCCAGGGGUGCAGGGAGGGAGGGCGGUAGCUCGGCCCACACCCACGCAGGCGCAUGCUUCGCAGGCGCUCAGUGUCUUGCAGGUUGCCAGGAGCUGCUUCCCUGGGUGAUGAUAGACCUGCCACAGGAGGACCUGGAGGAGGACGCCCCGGGAGCCAGCCUGUGGCCCACCACGGUCACCUUGCUCACCCUCUUCCUGCUCAGCCUCUUCUACAGCACAGCACUGACCGUGACAAGCGUCCGGGGCCCGCCCAGCAGCAGGGAGGGCCCCUCAUUCUGAGCAGGAGCCAGCCAGGCGCAGGAAGGAGCAUGGAAGAGCCUCCCAGAGCCCAAGCGGACACCAGAGCCAAGCCCGGGAUGGAAGCACCCACCCAUCCCCACACAGGCCUUCCUCGUACAAUAAACUUGUGACAAACACAG